rnacentral:misc_RNA from 1 species
GAUGAAGAACGCAGCGAAAUGCGAUAAGUAGUGUGAAUUGCAGAAUUCAGUGAAUCAUCGAAUCUUUGAACGCACAUUGCGCCCCUUGGUAUUCCGAGGGGCAUGCCUGUUCGAGCGUCAUUACACCACUCAAGCUAUGCUUGGUAUUGGGCGUCGUCCUUAGUUGGGCGCGCCUUAAAGACCUCGGCGAGGCCACUCCGGCUUUAGGCGUAGUAGAAUUUAUUCGAACGUCUGUCAAAGGAGAGGAACUCUGCCGACUGAAACCUUUAUUUUUCUAGGUUGACCUCGGAUCAGGUAGGGAUACCCGCUGAACUUAAGCAUAUCAAUAAGCGGAGGA